rnacentral:rRNA from 1 species
UACGAAGGGGGCUAGCGUUGUUCGGAAUUACUGGGCGUAAAGCGCGCGCAGGCGGUCUUCCAAGUCAGUGGUGAAGCCCGGAGCUCAACUCCGGAACUGCCAUUGAAACUGUUAGACUUGAGGAGUGAGAGAGGUGAGUGGAAUUCCCAGUGUAGAGGUGAAAUUCGUAGAUAUUGGGAAGAACACCGGUGGCGAAGGCGGCUCACUGGCUCGAUUACUGACGCCUCAGGCGCGAUAGCGUGGGGAUCAAACAGG